rnacentral:lncRNA from 1 species
AAGACGCAAUAAGCAGCCCUCCCCGCACUGACCCAGCUCUUACCUGUGCACUUGUAGGAGGGAGGCCGGCAAGUCAUCUCUGCCCAUUCCUCCCUUUCUUUUUAUAGGAUCCCUCCUGCCCUCGUGGCUUGCUUUCCCAGAAGUAAGGGAAAUGAAACUAAUGGCUUGCCCUAGAAACGAAACCAUUAGCCUGCCACAGAAAUGAAACCUGAAGCGUCCAUCCAUUUCCUGCUGCUUCACACAGUGAUCCUGACUUCAGCUGCAUCAGUCUCCUGGUGGGCUCGUGAACCACAGGGAGGGGCGGGGUGGGGGGGCGCGGGUAACGGGGCUAACAGGUUCUCCGGCAGGCCGGGGCUGACCACACUUGGAGAAUGGGUCACUUAGCAUGGCGCUGCCCAGGCCUUUCUGAGAUUCUGUGUGCUGCCACUCUCUGCCCGUAUUAAGCUCUGAACAUUCCAGGAAGGGACAUCCACAGCUCCUCCACAGCAUCCUUCAUGUAAGUGCGAGGUGCGUACCCUCACACUUGGGCUGGUUCCCAGGAGUGAGCCUGACUUCCUGGUCCUGUGUGGGUUACUUUGCCUGCAAAACUACAGGGUGGAUGCCUUUGCAGCUCCAGGAAAGGCACAGGGAAGACACUGCAGAGGCCAGACAAAGUGGGACCACUUCCAUGGAGGCAGCGAGGGAAGUUCGCUAAGGAGGUGGCUGAGGACCCACCCUCCCCAGCAGUACAGCAGCGCCCCUCGGCAUGCCCUUCAGGAAGUCUCUCUGGGAAGGAUCAGGGCCUCAGCAGCAUCAAGGUGCUGGACUAGUUCGUAAACUGCUGUCCGGGGUUUCAGGCCGGAGCUUGGUGAUGAACCCUGGCCGGGGUCCCUCAUCCCACCCGGCCCACUGACCCUCCGAGGAAGGGCUGGCCCGGGUGCUCAUACACCCUCAGCAGGACUGCUCCUUCUGAGUUUGCUUUCUUGGUUGCGCAGAGACCAUGCAGUGUCUCCCCCACUAAUGGCUUGAGGAGGUGAGGAACUGGGAGCCUGUGCACAGGUGAGGAGUUCUAAGUGUGUGUCUGUGCAGGGUGGUGGAGUGGCAGAGGCCUCUGUGGGUGGAAAUCCCCCAACUUGUCACUGUCUGGACCCCCCUUGCUCCAGCGGUGCAGGGGCGGGGCUGGGGGAUGAUGGUGACCCAUCUCAGGGCAGGUGCUAGGAGGCUGUCUGCCCUCAUGCAUGCAUGGUGCCUGUGGACGGAGGACAGGCCUGGGU